rnacentral:rRNA from 1 species
UUCUGGGAAGACCACCCUGAAUGCACGUGGUCUCAUCCAAUCUCAGAAUCUCAGCAGAGUUGGGCCUGAGGAGCACUUGAAUGGGAGAACCGGGAAGGCUUCUGCUCAUCUUCGCAAUCGGGCCACUGAGGAAU